UGGGGAAUAUUGGACAAUGGGGGGAACCCUGAUCCAGCCAUGCCGCGUGUGUGAAGAAGGCCUUAUGGUUGUAAAGCACUUUAAGCGAGGAGGAGGGUACUGGUAUUAAUACUACCAGCUACUGGACGUUACUCGCAGAAUAAGCACCGGCUAACUCUGUGCCAGCAGCCGCGGUAAUACAGAGGGUGCGAGCGUUAAUCGGAUUUACUGGGCGUAAAGCGUGCGUAGGCGGCUAAUUGAGUCGGAUGUGAAAUCCCCGAGCUUAACUUGGGAAUUGCAUUCGAUACUGGUUAGCUCGAGUGUGGGAGAGGAUGGUAGAGUUCCAGGUGUAGCGGUGAAAUGCGUAGAGAUCUGGAGGAAUACCGAUGGCGAAGGCAGCCAUCUGGCCUAACACUGACGCUGAGGUACGAAAGCAUGGGGAGCAAACAGG
rnacentral:rRNA from 1 species